rnacentral:rRNA from 1 species
GACGAACGCUGGCGGCGUGCUUAACACAUGCAAGUCGAACGGAAAGGCCCUGCUUUUGUGGGGUGCUCGAGUGGCGAACGGGUGAGUAACACGUGAGUAACCUGCCCUUGACUUUGGGAUAACUUCAGGAAACUGGGGCUAAUACCGGAUAGGAGCUCCUGCUGCAUGGUGGGGGUUGGAAAGUUUCGGCGGUUGGGGAUGGACUCGCGGCUUAUCAGCUUGUUGGUGGGGUAGUGGCUUACCAAGGCUUUGAUGGGUAGCCGGCCUGAGAGGGUGACCGGCCACAUUGGGACUGAGAUACGGCCCAGACUCCUACGGGAGGCAGCAGUGGGGAAUAUUGCACAAUGGGCGGAAGCCUGAUGCAGCAACGCCGCGUGCGGGAUGAAGGCCUUCGGGUUGUAAACCGCUUUCGCCUGUGACGAAGCGUGAGUGACGGUAAUGGGUAAAGAAGCACCGGCUAACUACGUG